GAGAUGGCAACAUAGCUUGACGUACAUAGUAGGUGUUAAUAAUUUAGAAAUAUUGAUACGCAAUUGCAACUAGUUUAAAAGGUAUCCUUUCUAAGAAUCGGAUGAGUAGUCAAACAAAGAUCUGCUCUGUUAAAAUAAACAACAAAACGGAGACCAACAAUUAGAAAGGUCUAAUUUAUGAUCUGCCUUCCCAAUAUUUAUUUAAAGGCAAUAGAAUGCUAGCAAAUAUCACGUUACUGUACACAAGAUCAAACUAAUCUAGUAUCUCGGCACAUGACCUUACGGUUCAUAACGCAAUACGUAUCGAUAUCUACCGUGGUUCUUUCAAAUGAUUUCAGGCAAACAACAUGUGCACGCCACUCUGCGUCUGCUACGGGCGUUAGUGCAUGGCGCUUAAAAUUCCUUUCGAGAGCGAGAGGAGCGAGGCAGUACCAGCUUCCUGAUGACGCCAUGCGUUGGAAGGAGACAGCGCGAACGCGUCCUGUGCGAGCGAUGCAAUGCGAGUCACAGUAAGAAGGAGCGAGACGGCGCACUUGCAAGGAGACGUCGAAAACCCCCGGAGGGGUGUCGAGUGGAAAUGACUCUUGUUACAUUAUACCUAAGGCAAACAACAUGUGCACGCCACUCUGCGUCUGCUACGGGCGUUAGUGCAUGGCGCUUAAAAUUCCUUUCGAGAGCGAGAGGAGCGAGGCAGUACCAGCUUCCUGAUGACGCCAUGCGUUGGAAGGAGACAGCGCGAACGCGUCCUGUGCGAGCGAUGCAAUGCGAGUCACAGUAAGAAGGAGCGAGACGGCGCACUUGCAAGGAGACGUCGAAAACCCCCGGAGGGGUGUCGAGUGGAAAUGACUCUUGUUACAUUAUACCUAAGGUUAAGAUAAUAUGUAGAUAAUAAAUAAAGUUGUAGUUGUUUAAGUCGGCCAAGUGAGUUAAUGAUGGGACACUCUGAUCUUAGACCCGGCAAGGAGAAGUGUUUCCGACUGAGUUUAAAUUGUCUCGACAAUAUUAGUAAUAGUAGUAAAAUACUUUCUUGUACACAAAUAAUAUAUUAUUGGCAGUACUUGUAUAAGUGGUUCCCGUUCUUGGCGACAUAAUCCAGUUAAGUACCUAUGGUGUUGUUCUUGAAGCUAAUAUGUAUAAGUUUCAGUUCAUGAGGUUUACACAAAUAACCGCCCAAGUUGCAUUGUAUCAAAUGACAGCAUAUUUAACCCUUGCAAGUUCAAUUCUUACUUGAUAAUCUGAAUUCAUUGUUGGGGCGAUUCUAGAGAAUUAGUAGCAGAUUAAUCAGUGAAUUAUCUUAGUUAAAAUGCUCAAGUCAGCUCACUUAUUUUGUAUGAUCUAUUUUGAGCUUAUAACAUCGUAUGUAUGAUGAGACAAUUCAUGUUAAAUAAAUGUCUAAAUGAGUUCGAUUCUCAUUAUUAUUAUAUAUUAUGAUUAUUGCUCGACACAAAGGUUCAAAUCUCUACAGAUAUUUUGAUGUAAGUGAAUUGCCGAUGGAAAUUCCUGA